rfam:Capsicum annuum cultivar Zunla-1 chromosome 1, whole genome shotgun sequence
GAUUGAUAGCAAUAAGGACAAUUUUUUAGCAUGCCUUUAAAUCUCUCCCAAGCUUGGUAGAUAUUUUCUCCAUCUUUUUGUCUGAAACUCAAGAUCUCACUCCUCAAAUA